rnacentral:rRNA from 1 species
UACGAAGGGGGCUAGCGUUGCUCGGAAUCACUGGGCGUAAAGCGCACGUAGGCGGAUCUUUAAGUCAGGGGUGAAAUCCCGGAGCUCAACUCCGGAACUGCCUUUGAUACUGAGGGUCUUGAGUCCGGGAGAGGUGAGUGGAACUGCGAGUGUAGAGGUGAAAUUCGUAGAUAUUCGCAAGAACACCAGUGGCGAAGGCGGCUCACUGGCCCGGUACUGACGCUGAGGUGCGAAAGCAUGGGGAGCAAACAGG